GACGUAGGGCGCGAGCGUUGUCCGGAUUUAUUGGGCGUAAAGAGCUCGUAGGCGGUGUGUCGCGUCGGCCGUGAAAACCUGCAGCUUAACUGUGGGCUUGCGGUCGAUACGGGCAUCACUGGAGUUCGGCAGGGGAGACUGGAAUUCCUGGUGUAGCGGUGAAAUGCGCAGAUAUCAGGAGGAACACCAAUAGCGAAGGCAGCUCGCUGGGACGGUACUGACGCUGAGGCGCGAAAGCGUGGGGAGCGAACAGG
rnacentral:rRNA from 1 species